GAGCCACAGACCUGGCACGCUGCCCGGGGCCACUGCUCUUGUCACCGUCUCAUCUAAACAGGGAUGACAGAGAACCACCACGGUCCCAGCCCACAUACCACUACCAAGACCACUACCAAGAGGGACAGAUGCUCAGAGAAACACCCCCAGGUGGCAGAGGAACCACAGGGAAGCAUACCCAGACAUUGAAUGACAAUUCAGCUGACUAUUCAAAAAGAAGCUAAAUAGUAAAAGAAAAAAAUAGAUGUUAUAAAAUAUCAGCAUAUGUCUUAUUUUAAAAUGAGUAAAAAAGAAUAUUGGUCAAAGUAAAGACUUGAAAAACAGUCUGAGAAAAUCUGGGAAAUAAUUAGAAAUGAAAGGGAAAAAGUGGAAAUGAAGAAUAAACUAGAAUGAACCCAAGAGUGAAUAAAUGUCAUAAAUGAUGUCAUAGAAGGAAUAGAAAGUGGGAAGGGAAGAGGAAAUCCAGAAAGAGCAUAAUGACGAAGCGUCAACAGCGUGCAAAGGAGGCGACCCAGGAGGAAGCCGAGGGAGAACCAAACAGUUCACAGGUGACUCCAAGCCACGAAACAGAACAGACAUGAAAGCAAUUCAAGAAAAUGCCCUUACAGAAGAAAGGCCUCCACCUACAUUUUUGUAAGAUACACCUCAUAUCUGGGAAAACGAACCAAGAAUCACCAAGAUUUAGUUCUAUCAUUGUCUUCUAAAGGAUAAAGAUAGUAACUAAAAUCGACUAAAACAUCAGCUGUGUUUACAUCCAAUUCACAACUAAUCUAGAGGGGCACUGACCAAAGCAGAAAAACGCUGGCGUUGAGCUGAUGCUGGGAAAUGAAUGCGUGGAGGCGAACUGUGUUAUUCCAGCUUUUAUGUUGAGCUUUUCCAUAAUAAAAAGUUAUAAGUAGGUAAAAUAACAAUUACUCCUUAAUUGGGUAUGUUUGUUUUUUCAUAUAUUUGUAGAGCCUUUUCAACCCAGUGUCAGGCAGCUAAGCACACACUGGACCAUCUUACGCCACCUAUCUCUCCUAUCACAAUGGAACUGUUUGUCUUUGAUGGAAAUCACUCGUCUCCUGGGACCUUUUGAACUGACCUAACCUGUUGUAUUAGUUCAUUCUCACACUGCUGUAAAGAACUACCUGAGAUUGGGUAAUUCAUCAAGAAAGGAGGUGUAAUUGACUCACAGUUGCGCAUGGAUCGGGAGGCCUCAGGAAACUUUCAAUCUUGGCGGAAGUUGAAGAGGAAGCAAGGCCUGUUUUCCAUGGUGGCAGGAGACAGAGUGGAUGGGGGAGACUUCCACGAACUUUUAAACCACCAAAUCUUGUGAGAACUCAUGCACUAUCAUGAGACCACCAUGCAGGAAACUGCCCCCAUGAUCCAAUCGCCUCCCACAAGUCCCCUCCCCUGACACAUGCCACUUUCAGGCUGCUGAUAAAGACAUAUCCGAGACUGGGUGAUUUAUAAAAAAAAAAAAAAAAGGUUGAACGGAUUCACAGUUCCACGGUUCUGGGAGGCCUCACAAUCACAGUGGAGGUGAAAGACGCAUGUUACAAGGCGGCAGGCAAGGAGAGUGUGUGCGUGGGAACUCUCCUUUAUAAAACCAUCAGAUCUUGUGACACUUAGUCACUAUCAUGAGAACAGGCAGGGAAAGACUGCCCUGGUGAUUCAAUUACCUCCCACUGGGUCCCUCUCAUGACACGUGGCAAUUAUGGGAGCUAUAAUUCAAGAUGAGACUUGGGUGGGGACACAGCCAAACCAUAUCACAUAGGGAUUACAAUUCCAGAUGAGGGUUAGGUGGACAGCUAGAGGAAAAUCACGUCACCUGUGUCCCCCUCAUGUGACCAUUUCCUCUUUGGCUUCUUCCAUCCUGGCUGUCCCCUCAGGGCCCACGCCCCUGUGUCCCUCUGCCUGUCAUCCUGUGAUCUGCUCUGACCCUCUCUUCCUCCUCGUUCAAGUUGAGCAUUUCUUACCACAGAAGUGAUGAUCACGCUGAAGAGUUAACCUGUCAUUUCUCAUAAUACAGAACAAAUACGUUCUCUUACGGGAGAGGAAACUACCUGAGAUUGUGAUAAAUUUAUACCUCCAAGUAGUGAUACAGUGAGCCAAAUAUCUGACAACCAGCCUUGUGGAGAAAGUACUGAGUUUUGGGGGAAACUGACUCCCCCACUGAUCAGUGGUGGGGGAGUCACUGACUAAUGGACUAAUACAACAUGUUAGGUCAGUUCAGUGGCGGAGUCACUGACUCCCCCAGUGAUCUCUGCAUCCCUGCAGGGACGGGCAUCAACCCCCCGGCAAACCCUAAUGACACCAUAAAUAUGGGGUAACUGAAUUAUAUGAAAAGAGUACUGAAAACAUGCCCACCUUCUGGAGAGGAAGCAAAUUGGUGGGGCAUUCCCGUGAGCACCCACGCAAGCUACACUGUGCAUUUCACAAGCCCUGGGCCACAGCCGCACAAAACAAUCUGAUGACUUAAGAAAAUAUAUUUCCACUUCAAAACACUGCAGCAAUUCCAGAAAUCACAGGUGUGAUUCGAGCCGCGGUGUCCAGGUUUCUGAUGCUCAGGCGUUCAUUCUUGGGAGAAGGCGGGAGGCAACUGCAGUGAUACCACUCAGCAGAGACCACCACCCUGCACACGUGAGGUCAGAGGGAUAGGAGGGAGGGAACUGUUCACGGGAAUGCUCCCCAGAGCCCAUUUGAAAGAGUUAUAAAGUCAGAAGACCAAAGAUCAAAGCAGGUCUGAACUAUGAAAAGACCCAUUCAUCAGAAACUGGCAGCACCUCCAGGCCCUGAGCAGAAAGGGGCCGAGCGGUCAUGAAUCUAUUUUCCAGGCCCAGGGAAGAUGCAUCGUCUUCGCCAAUGCAUCCCUCUAAAUAGUAAAUAACAAGCUAUUUGAAGUGACACUCACCACGUAGAUUAGAAUAUUUCAGUAAUUUGAAUGCUUGUCAUUGUGACAUAUUUCUCCUCCGAGAGAAUUUCAGGAAAAGUUUCAUGUGGACCUGAAUCACUGUCACAAUCGAUUUAAUUCCAUCUGUGCAUGAGUGCCCAAAAUGUGUAUCGAUUAUGCCAGGGUUCACAAGAAAUGUGGGGAGUAGAUGCCGGUGUCCAAAACAAUCAUCAUCACAGCUUAUUUGCUUGUUUCUUAAACAACAUAAUCAGGCUGCUGAUGAGUCACACAUUGCAGGAGAAUUUUAAAUGCUCUUUGAUGAGGCAAAAUUACGCUAUCCACACAAAAAGCGCAGGUCCAAAUGAACAGAUUUCAGCAGGCCCCCUGGAGGCAUGUUCUCUAACUAUCUGGGCCAGAUUCUGCGACAUAGAAAUACAUAAAAGCAGCUAGGAGCUUGAGGAGUACAUGGACUUAUUGACAAUAACCUUCCCAAAGAGGGAUCAAAAUGCCAUGUUGAUGCUGAUGGUUCACCUGGCCUGGGGCGAUUCGCUCUGAGCAGGAGGCGUGCAGGUUGGUGCUUCGGAAGAGCUUUGGGAAAACCUGCCCUAUGGUGAAGCUUCCAAACAGAGGGCAUGGCUUUGUAAACCGGCUCAUGAAUGAAUGCGCAGGACGGGAUGGGCGUGCUCAGUCCUCGGGCUGACUGCAGAACAAACGCCAAAGCAUUUCCUCUCAGAUCUGAGGGGGCCCCAGCCUCCCCGAGAGUCUUCCUCUCCCACGGAAUCUUCAAGGCUGGAACCAACAUGGAAAUGAACAGCUGCCAAAACGGAGGCAGCUCCAUGCAAAACAUCCGUGCAUGUUUCAAAGUUGGUUUUCAGUGACGGAAGUCAUUCAGAUGAUUAAAACUAAAAUUAGCGUUUCAAUGUUGUUGAAAUGCCAACUGUUGGGAACUGAGGCCAGUCCCACGGGAUGGGAGUGCAGCCGGGUGAUGAGGCGGACAGCCCAGCUGCUUCGGAUCCCGCCUCCCACACAAGUUCAAAAUUCAUCAAAUCAUGGCCACAUUCCACGUUUCCUGUGCCUCAGGAAGCUCAUCUUGUGUUUUCAAUUUAGCACACAUAUCCAAAGAUCAGCAGAGACCAGCUUAGCUGAGGUCCACGUGUGACGGUGAAAUCAGAGAGGCUGCACUGGGCUCUUUCCUGGAGCCCUUGGCCCCCGUCAGAGGUGCUCCUUGUCCAUCCCCUGUGGCCCACACAGCAUCCUUUGGCCCCCAAAAGUGACUUUCUAAGGAGGAGAUUUGGGGUAGCAAGAAGACAGCUGCCCAGGAGAUUGUGGGUGGGAGGCGUCCUCCCUCCACAGCCAGUGAGCCUCUGCCCUGCCACGUGCGGCCCUAGACCUCCCCACAUAGUGGCUCACAGGCUUCCACGUGCUGUGGGGCCAGGCGGCAGGAGCACUGGGGGAGAAGAGCCCUUUACCUCCUACCUGAUCACCUCGCUGGCUUGGGGAAGACACUGUUAUUCUUCUUUGCAUUGUUUCUGAAAGUUCUGUGGUGUCUGCCUAUUAUCGAACCACUCAGGUCUAGUUCUACGUGUUUUGUUCAUGGCUCCAUCGGCACCCAGCAGAGAGAAGAGUCUGCCCUGACCGCCCUGGCUGCUGGGCCUGCUAGGUACCCUCAAGCCCAGCUCUUGCUCCCUCUUCCCCUCUCUUCCUUACCAUCCUUCUGUCCUUUGCUAAAAAGUCAAAAGGACUGAAAAUGUGAGAAUGCACACUGGCUCUGAGUCAAGAUUUUGUUUUCCCUUCAUUGUG
rnacentral:lncRNA from 1 species